rnacentral:piRNA from 1 species
UGGUUUUCAGCUCCCCCUUAGAUCC